GCUUGUCUCAAAGAUUAAGCCAUGCAUGUCUAAGUAUAAGCAACCUUAUACAGCGAAACUGCGUACAGCUCAUUAUAUCAGCAAUUAUUUAUUUGAAGAUCACCUAUUACAUGGAUAACCGUGGUAAUUCUAGAGCUAAUACAUGCGAAAAGACCCGACUUCUGGAAGGGUUGUAUUUAUUAGAUAAAAAACCAAUGGGGGCAACCUCUUUGUGGUGAUUCAUAAUAACUUUGCGAAUCGCAUGGCCUUGUGCCGGCGAUGAAUCAUUCAAAUUUCUGCCCUAUCAACUUUCGAUGGUAAGGUAUUGGCUUACCAUGGUUGCAACGGGUGACGGGGAAUUAGGGUUCGAUUCCGGAGAGGGAGCCUGAGAAAUGGCUACCACAUCCAAGGAAGGCAGCAGG
rnacentral:rRNA from 1 species